rnacentral:rRNA from 1 species
GAUGAACGCUGGCGGCGUGCCUAAUACAUGCAAGUCGAGCGAACAGACGAGGAGCUUGCUCCUCUGACGUUAGCGGCGGACGGGUGAGUAACACGUGGAUAACCUACCUAUAAGACUGGGAUAACUUCGGGAAACCGGAGCUAAUACCGGAUAAUAUAUUGAACCGCAUGGUUCAAUAGUGAAAGACGGUUUUGCUGUCACUUAUAGAUGGAUCCGCGCCGCAUUAGCUAGUUGGUAAGGUAACGGGUUACCAAGGCAACAAUGCGUAGCCGACCUGGGAGGGUGAUCGUCCACACUGGAACUGAGAAACGGUCCAGACUCCUACGGGAGGCAGCAGUAGGGAAUCUUCCGCAAUGGGCGAAAGCCUGACGGAGCAACGCCGCGUGAGUGAUGAAGGUCUUCGGAUCGUAAAACUCUGUUAUUAGGGAAGAACAAAUGUGUAAGUAACUAUGCACGUCUUGACGGUACCUAAUCAGAAAGCCACGGCUAACUACGUG